CAGUCGCCGCGGUAAUACGGAGGGAGCUAGCGUUGUUCGGAAUUACUGGGCGUAAAGCGCACGUAGGCGGUUUAUCAAGUCAGAGGUGAAAGCCCGGGGCUCAACCCCGGAACUGCCUUUGAAACUAGUAGACUUGAAUCUUGGAGAGGUCAGUGGAAUUCCGAGUGUAGAGGUGAAAUCCGUAGAUAUUCGGAAGAACGCCAGUGGCGAAGGCGACUGACUGGACAAGUAUUGACGCUGAGGCUCGAAAGCGUGGGGAGCAAACAGGAUUAGAUACCCCGGUAGUCCCUGUCUCUUAUAC
rnacentral:rRNA from 1 species